AAUAUCUCUAGAAUUUCCCCAUUUGUAAUAAAAUAUACUUUCGUUUUUGCCAAUGUCGUUUACAGAGUCCACUGUUUUCAAUGGUGGUUCAGAGAAAUCGAGACCAAGGCACCUCGGAAAUGAACAGCGGUGAAGGAACCGUAGAGAAUGGAACUGCUGGGGUUUCUGGGUACGAGCAGUUCAGGGACCAAAGGAUCAAAGAGAACAAUGAGAGAUUGCAGAAGCUGGGAAUUUUGGACCUUGCUCUGAAGCUGAAGCCCAAAGCUGCCACUCCAAAACGUUCCCAGAGUCAGAGAGAUUCGUCUGUUCAGACCAAAAUCCACAAGUCCCCAAGGCGCUCUUCUAGGUAACCCACUUUUCUCCUCUUUCGUUUUAAAGGCUCUCUUGUUUGGGUUCCAGGAAAACGCAAAAGAAAAUGGUAGGAAAGGUUAAAACUUUAAAGGAUUUUCUUUUUCAAAAAAGCGUUUUUUGUUUUUGUUAGGUUGAAGACUGUGGCUCCAGUAAGUUAUGUGGAAAUUAGAAAGCCUAAAGAGAAGGAGAGUAUUAAUAUUUAUAUCAAGAAGGGCUCAAAGCGAGAGGUUUAUACAGAGGAACAUGAGAAGCAGUUGGGGGAUUGUAAUACAAGCUGGCCCCUGGGUGUGGAUUUGGUUAAGGGAGAAACUUGCCACCAAUGCAGGUAGUUCAUGACUCAUGUGAUGGGUUUCUUGCUUUUCUUAUAACAAUUGAAGAUGACUCAUUGUGUUUGUUGUAAUCCCCCGGGACUGGAUAUUUUUGCAUUGUUGUAAACUUGCCACAAAUAUUAUUUCUGAUGUUUAUUUGGUAAAGGUGUGAUCUUGAACUCUGAAAAGAUUUCAUACUUUAUAAGGAUUAGUUGAACCGGCUUUAAUUGACUAGCUGAUAAUGAUGUUCUUAACAACAUUAUCAAAUUUUAACAUGUCAAGUUAUGCAGUACGUUCUAAAAUUUUAGAUAUAGUUUAACUGUAAGUCUGCAAGCUUAGCCCAUUCAUGGUAAACCGAAAAAAGUUGCGUGGCUUGUUUGACAUUUGAAUCAUUGUCCUUAAAAGGAUUCUGUGAGCACCAGAGUUUUUCAAGUUUCAAACUGAUAUAAAUUGUUGUUGUUACCUUUUGGUUGGGUUGUAUUUUUUACUAUAUCAAGCUUGCAUUUGACCUUACAAUAAAUGUAUUUUAGGUUCUCCUUUUCCCAGUAGUUUAUCCUUUACACCACAUUUUAUUUAGAAUCAUUUAAAGUUUGUUGCCUCUUUCGGCUUUAAGCUUUCAAUUCAUCAAAUUACUUAUAUGGACAGAUGAAAAUGUAGCAUUGAAAGAAGUCUUGUCAUUGAUAUGAAAAUUAUGCAUCCAAUUGAAACUUUUUCAAUAUACCAGGUACUCUUUCAAUGGAUUGGUUCCUUCCUAUUCUUCUUUCAGUUUUGCAGUGCAUUGGUUGGUUGUUGCAGCAUUUCGUGCAUGUAUUAAUAUUUUAUACUCUUUAGUAAUUUGUUUUCUAAAUCUAUAAUGGAAAGGAGAUUUCAAGGAUUACUGAUGCUUAGGAGCUCAUACAUAUGAUUAUAACCCAAAGGAAGAUGGUACCUUCUCAAGAGCAUAGAAAAAAUGCUUAAAUUUACUGUUAUACUGGGUUCAUUGCUUAAUCGUACAAUACAUUCAUCAUGCGUUAUUUGAGCUUACCUUUGACUUUUUAAUUAAAGGUGUCCUUUCACUUGGUAAACUAUGCUUAGAGAUGACAUACUUCCUUGCAGGCAUAAAACUCUUGGCCAGCAUACACAUUGCUGCAAAUGUGACUCGGUCCAAGGGCAGUUAUGUGGAGAUUGCUUGUUCACGAGGUAAGUUCUUUCAUAAAUUACCUAUUGAAAGUAACAUUUCAUUUAAUGUUCCAAUUCUUACAAAAAAACAUGCAAUGAAUUUUACCGUCUUCCACAGAUAUGGAGAGAAUAUGCUUGAAGCCAACCAAAAUCCUGAUUGGGUUUGCCCUGUUUGUCGGGACAUCUGCAACUGCAAUCUUUGCCGUAAAGCAAAAGGGUGGGAACCCACUGGUAAUCUGUAUUGGAAGGUUAACCCUAUCAACCUUAUGUUUGCUGCAUGCAUUUGUGAUCAUUAUAUAAUUUGGUGUAAUAUUCUUCUCUUCCAGCAUGAUCCCCACGGUUUCUCAGUUGAUACUCUUAGGUCCUUGCAUGUCAGACUGAGUGAGGUCCUAUCAUCUGUUUGAAAAAAUGAAAAAGAAAUAAAGAGAAAAACAUGCAAUAGAACACAACAUGCAUACAAGCACAGGAACUCAUGCAUCCACAGACAGUUAAAUGCAUAUGCACGUACACACAUGCAUUCACUCAAUGGAAUCACUACAUAGUUUGGCACUGUGAUUUUGGUACAUAAUGAGCAAGUCCACAAGUUAACAUGGAUAACCAAUUGCUAAAUUUUGUUAAUUUAUCAGGUCUCAAAACUGGGUUACAAGUCUCUGGCGCAUUAUCUUAUUCAAACCCACCGUUCCCAGAUAAAAUCAGAAACCUCAGGUGCAGAGGUUGCUGAUGAGGGAUCUGAGCCAUCUUCACAUGAUGAAUUUCUGGAAAGCACAACACAUCAACCUGAGGACUUAAGGCACGAUGAGGGGUUCUUCACAACGGAAGAAAAAAUGGGAGAGAUGCACUUCCUGGGCAUCAAGCAUGUUGAUGUCAAUGAUGUGGGUAAGCUAGAUGAUGUUGCUGCUGGUGAUGCUAAUGAUGGUGAGGCAAAGAGCAGGAACUAAAUAUUUCUGGAUUAUUGAUUGUCUGACAUGAAGCCUGUUCUUAAUACUAAGUAGACUUGGAUCAACUGGUGAAAUUUUGGGAGACACCAAACUCUUUUUGAGCACAAAUAUUCCUCUUUUGUUAGCAGGACAACAAAGAAGGCCACAUCUGUAAUAUUUUGUGGAGUUACUGAUUUCAUUCAAAUAUAUUAACUAUCCUUUCAAGA
rnacentral:lncRNA from 1 species